GCGGCGGCGGGGGCCGGGGGCGGGGGCUCGGGCGCCUUGAGGGCGGCGGGCGGCGGCGGCUGGUGCACGGGGUCCAGGGCCGUGUUGUGCACGACCUUGCUGAGCCCGGCCUCCUGCUUGAUCUUGAGCUUGAGGCCGAUGCGGCUGCGGGCCUCGUAGGUCUUGAUGGGCGGCCGAUUGCGGGAGGGCAUCGGGCCGUCCUCGUCAGCGUCCAGGGAGGAGGCGGCGGAGGACGAGGACGACGAGGACGACAGGGAGGACGAGGACGCGCGGGCCCAGGUCACCGAAGGGGAGCCGCCCGCGCCGCCGUGCCGGAUCACCAGCUUGGUGGGCAGGUGCAGAGGGGGCGGGGCCGGGGCCCCGGAUGCUGAGGACGGUGGGGGGCCGUGGCCCGGGAGCCGGUGUCCGACGUCGGAAGAGGCGGCGAUGGGGAGGCCGAGGGAGCGCGAGGAAGACACGUACUCGUCUGCGAACAGAGCGAGGAAAAGCAUGAGGCCCCGCGCAGAGCAGAGACAUGCUCGUCUCCACCCUGUGCUGAAGACCAGUGGCCCCCACAUGUCACAGGGCAGGUCUGUCUUGUGCUUCCAGAAUCCAGCACAGGACUGGGCCCUGGUGUCUGCAGGUCUCUGUCCAACUGGCUCGGGCUCUGGCGUGCCCCCCGCCUGGACCGUCCUGCUGAUCCACCCGCCGCCGCCCGCGUCUGUCUCGUCUGCCCCUGACGGCCUGUCCGCCUCAUCUGCCCCUCCUGCCCCUGGCGGCGUCACUCCAGCCCCUGCCCUCCGCUCUGGGGGCCCCUUACCUGCAGCCCGGAGGACUUCCCCGGCCCGGAUGACGCGGCUUUGGCCACACUCAGGGUCGGGAGGCUGUUGGCAAAGGCUUUGCUCUCGGCGGGAAGCAGAGGAGAGACGCCUGGGGCGGGCGGGGCAGACAGGGCGCAGGGGUCAGUGGCACAGAGGCCACCCUACAAACGUGACCCCCAAGCCUGCAUCCCGCUCUCCUCCAGUUGUCUGGCCUUGGUGGCCACGCCAGCCCCACAGUGAGUGCCCCUUGGAUCUGGGGAGACAGGCCCCCUCCUCCACCUGCCCCGUCCCCUGAGGUCAGGCCCCCCCCGGGCUCACAGCCCCCACAGCUCUACCCCAGCCCAUCCUCCCUGUUGCUCAGCCCCGCACCCACCCACCUUUGGGCCCCCAUCUCUCCUGCUGCUCCCCUACCUGUGGUGGCCAUGGGUGCCGGGGCAGGGGGAUGGCUGGGGGCGGUGGGGGUCCCCGAUGGGGCCUGCCCGCUGACCAGCACAGAGGCCGUGGGGUUGGCGAGGGGCCCCAGGCUGGCGGAGGUCUGCGGGGCAGCGGGGCCCCCCCCGGCCUUGUUCUGGAGAAUGAUCC
rnacentral:lncRNA from 1 species